CCUACGGGAGGCAGCAGUGGGGAAUAUUGGACAAUGGGGGAAACCCUGAUCCAGCGACGCCGCGUGAGUGAAGACGUACUUCGGUACGUAAAGCUCUAUCUGCAGGAAAGAAAAUGACGGUACCUGACUAUGAUGCCCCGGCUAACUACGUGCCAGCAGCCGCGGUAAGACGGAGGGGGCAAGCGUUAUCCGGAUUUACUGGGUGUAAAGGGAGCGUAGACGGCUGCGCAAGACUGGAGUGAAAUGCCGGGGCCCAACCGCGGAACUGCACUGGAAACUGUGCAGCUGGAGUGCAGGGGAGGUAGGCGGAAUUCGUGGUGUAGCGGUGAAAUGCGUAGAUAUCAGGAGGAACACCGGCGGCGAAGGCAGCUUACUGGACUGUAACUGACGUUGAGGCUCGAAGGCGUGGGGAGCAAACAGGAUUAGAUACCCCAGUAGUC
rnacentral:rRNA from 1 species